rnacentral:rRNA from 1 species
GUUUGAUCCUGGCUCAGGAUGAACGCUGGCGGCGUGCUUAACACAUGCAAGUCGAACGGUGAAGCCAAGCUUGCUUGGUGGAUCAGUGGCGAACGGGUGAGUAACACGUGAGCAACCUGCCCUGGACUCUGGGAUAAGCGCUGGAAACGGUGUCUAAUACUGGAUAUGAGCUCUCAUCGCAUGGUGGGGGUUGGAAAGAUUUUUCGGUCUGGGAUGGGCUCGCGGCCUAUCAGCUUGUUGGUGAGGUAAAGGCUCACCAAGGCGUCGACGGGUAGCCGGCCUGAGAGGGUGACCGGCCACACUGGGACUGAGACACGGCCCAGACUCCUACGGGAGGCAGCAGUGGGGAAUAUUGCACAAUGGGCGGAAGCCUGAUGCAGCAACGCCGCGUGAGGGAUGACGGCCUUCGGGUUGUAAACCUCUUUUAGCAGGGAAGAAGCGAGAGUGACGGUACCUGCAGAAAAAGCGCCGGCUAACUACGUGCCAGCAGCCGCGGUAAUACGUAGGGCGCAAGCGUUAUCCGGAAUUAUUGGGCGUAAAGAGCUCGUAGGCGGUUUGUCGCGUCUGCUGUGAAAUCCCGAGGCUCAACCUCGGGCCUGCAGUGGGUACGGGCAGACUAGAGUGCGGUAGGGGAGAUUGGAAUUCCUGGUGUAGCGGUGGAAUGCGCAGAUAUCAGGAGGAACACCGAUGGCGAAGGCAGAUCUCUGGGCCGUAACUGACGCUGAGGAGCGAAAGGGUGGGGAGCAAACAGGCUUAGAUACCCUGGUAGUCCACCCCNNNAACGUUGGGAACUAGUUGUGGGGACCAUUCCACGGUUUCCGUGACGCAGCUAACGCAUUAAGUUCCCCGCCUGGGGAGUACGGCCGCAAGGCUAAAACUCAAAGGAAUUGACGGGGACCCGCACAAGCGGCGGAGCAUGCGGAUUAAUUCGAUGCAACGCGAAGAACCUUACCAAGGCUUGACAUACACCAGAACACCGUAGAAAUACGGGUCUCUUUGGACACUGGUGAACAGGUGGUGCAUGGUUGUCGUCAGCUCGUGUCGUGAGAUGUUGGGUUAAGUCCCGCAACGAGCGCAACCCUCGUUCUAUGUUGCCAGCACGUAAUGGUGGGAACUCAUGGGAUACUGCCGGGGUCAACUCGGAGGAAGGUGGGGAUGACGUCAAAUCAUCAUGCCCCUUAUGUCUUGGGCUUCACGCAUGCUACAAUGGCCGGUACAAAGGGCUGCAAUACCGUGAGGUGGAGCGAAUCCCAAAAAGCCGGUCCCAGUUCGGAUUGAGGUCUGCAACUCGACCUCAUGAAGUCGGAGUCGCUAGUAAUCGCAGAUCAGCAACGCUGCGGUGAAUACGUUCCCGGGUCUUGUACACACCGCCCGUCAAGUCAUGAAAGUCGGUAACACCUGAAGCCGGUGGCCCAACCCUUGUGGAGGGAGCCGUCGAAGGUGGGAUCGGUAAUUAGGACUAAGUCGUAACAAGGUAGCCGUACCGGAA